rnacentral:rRNA from 1 species
UACGUAGGGGGCUAGCGUUGUCCGGAAUCAUUGGGCGUAAAGAGCGCGUAGGCGGCCAGAUAAGUCCGGUGUGAAAGUCAAAGGCUCAACCUUUGAAUGCCGCUGGAAACUGUCUGGCUAGAGUCCGGGAGGGGCGAGUGGAAUUCCUGGUGUAGCGGUGAAAUGCGCAGAUAUCAGGAGGAACACCAAUGGCGAAAGCAGCUCGCUGGAACGCUACUGACGCUGAGGCGCGAAAGCGUGGGGAGCAAACAGG